rnacentral:rRNA from 1 species
CAGGGAGCUUGCUCCGCUGACGAGUGGCGAACGGGUGAGUAAUAUAUCGGAACGUACCCAGAAGUGGGGGAUAACGUAGCGAAAGUUACGCUAAUACCGCAUACGAUCCACGGAUGAAAGUAGGGGACCUUCGGGCCUUAUGCUUUUGGAGCGGCCGAUAUCUGAUUAGCUAGUUGGUGAGGUAAAGGCUCACCAAGGCGACGAUCAGUAGCUGGUCUGAGAGGACGACCAGCCACACUGGAACUGAGACACGGUCCAGACUCCUACGGGAGGCAGCAGUGGGGAAUUUUGGACAAUGGGCGCAAGCCUGAUCCAGCAAUGCCGCGUGAGUGAAGAAGGCCUUCGGGUUGUAAAGCUCUUUUGUCAGGGAAGAAACGGUAGAGGCUAAUAUCCUUUGCUAAUGACGGUACCUGAAGAAUAAGCACCGGCUAACUACGUGCCAGCAGCCGCGGUAAUACGUAGGGUGCAAGCGUUAAUCGGAAUUACUGGGCGUAAAGCGUGCGCAGGCGGUUUUGUAAGUCUGACGUGAAAUCCCCGGGCUCAACCUGGGAAUUGCGUUGGAGACUGCAAGGCUAGAAUCUGGCAGAGGGGGGUAGAAUUCCACGUGUAGCAGUGAAAUGCGUAGAGAUGUGGAGGAACACCGAUGGCGAAGGCAGCCCCCUGGGUCAAGAUUGACGCUCAUGCACGAAAGCGUGGGGAGCAAACAGGAUUAGAUACCCUGGUAGUCCACGCCCUAAACGAUGUCUACUAGUUGUCGGGUUUUAAUUAACUUGGUAACGCAGCUAACGCGUGAAGUAGACCGCCUGGGGAGUACGGUCGCAAGAUUAAAACUCAAAGGAAUUGACGGGGACCCGCACAAGCGGUGGAUGAUGUGGAUUAAUUCGAUGCAACGCGAAAAACCUUACCUACCCUUGACAUGUA